CUCUGGCCGCCGACGCCAUUCCUUUCUUUCUCCUUCUCUGUAGAAGCCCGGGAGUACACCGUCGACGACGACCGUAGCAGUUGCGCCGUCGCCGAACCAGUACACCGUCGCCAAGACUUCGCCGAGCCGCGUUUGAUUCUUGAUAAUUGCAUAAUCGGUGAAGGAGUGGAUUAGGUGCU